UCCCGUUUAGCUCAGUUGGUAGAGCGCGUCACUAGUACGGCCAGGAGGUGGUGCGAUGACGAGGUCAGUCGUUCGAGUCGGCUAAUGGGAA